rnacentral:rRNA from 1 species
UACGUAGGUGGCAAGCGGUGUCCGGAUUUAUUGGGUUUAAAGGGUGCGUAGGCGGUCUUCUAAGUCAGUUGUGAAAUACUUCAGCUUAACUGGAGAGGUGCAAUUGAUACUGGAAGACUUGAGUACUGAUGAGGUAGGCGGAAUGGACGGUGUAGCGGUGAAAUGCUUAGAUAUCGUCCAGAACACCGAUAGCGAAGGCAGCUUACUAAGGAGUAACUGACGCUGAGGCACGAAAGUGUGGGGAUCAAACCGG